AACCCAUGGUGAGGGCACCUUUUUAAAAGAUCCUUGUAUCUCUCCCAUGCAUCAUAGAGUGUUUCUAGAUCCAUCUGCACCAAAGAAGAGAUGUCAUUCCUCAACUU
rfam:Gossypium arboreum cultivar AKA8401 contig_31054_1, whole genome shotgun sequence.